GAAAUGCGAUAAGUAGUGUGAAUUGCAGAAUUCAGUGAAUCAUCGAAUCUUUGAACGCACAUUGCGCCCCUCGGUAUUCCGUGGGGCAUGCCUGUUCGAGCGUCAUCUACACCCUCAAGCUCUGCUUGGUGUUGGGCGUCUGUCCCGCCUCCGCGCGCGGACUCGCCCCAAAUGCAUUGGCAGCGGUUCCUUGCCCCCCUCUUUGCGCAGCACAUUGCCAUUCGAGGCGGCGGCGGCCCGCGUCCAACAAGCUCAACCCCCCCGUCUUUGACCUCGGAUCAGGUAGGGAUACCCUCUGAACUUAAGC
rnacentral:misc_RNA from 1 species